ACGCUCGACACCUACGGGAGGCAGCAGUGGGGAAUAUUGCACAAUGGGGGAAACCCUGAUGCAGCGACGCCGCGUGAAGGAAGAAGUAUUUCGGUAUGUAAACUUCUAUCAGCAGGGAAGAAAAUGACGGUACCUGACUAAGAAGCCCCGGCUAACUACGUGCUAGCAGCCGCGGUAAUCUGAGCGGGCUGGCAAGGC
rnacentral:rRNA from 1 species